CCAGGGAAAGCCGAAAACCUGUUUAAGAGAGUAGGCG
rfam:Niastella vici strain DJ57 contig8, whole genome shotgun sequence.